AUAUCUCUCUGUACGGGAAGGAUGAGAAGCUUCGACUAAGGUUCGAUUCGAGCGAAAGCGAGAAAGCGUUGCUAACGGCAACGACCCGAAGGGCGAAGCGCGCAGCGCUGAGUAAUCCUUCCCCCACCACCA
rnacentral:sRNA from 1 species